GACGAACGCUGGCGGCGUGCCUAAUACAUGCAAGUCGAACGAACUCUGGUAUUGAUUGGUGCUUGCAUCAUGAUUUACAUUUGAGUGAGUGGCGAACUGGUGAGUAACACGUGGGAAACCUGCCCAGAAGCGGGGGAUAACACCUGGAAACAGAUGCUAAUACCGCAUAACAACUUGGACCGCAUGGUCCGAGUUUGAAAGAUGGCUUCGGCUAUCACUUUUGGAUGGUCCCGCGGCGUAUUAGCUAGAUGGUGGGGUAACGGCUCACCAUGGCAAUGAUACGUAGCCGACCUGAGAGGGUAAUCGGCCACAUUGGGACUGAGACACGGCCCAAACUCCUACGGGAGGCAGCAGUAGGGAAUCUUCCACAAUGGACGAAAGUCUGAUGGAGCAACGCCGCGUGAGUGAAGAAGGGUUUCGGCUCGUAAAACUCUGUUGUUAAAGAAGAACAUAUCUGAGAGUAACUGUUCAGGUAUUGACGGUAUUUAACCAGAAAGCCACGGCUAACUACGUGCCAGCAGCCGCGGUAAUACGUAGGUGGCAAGCGUUGUCCGGAUUUAUUGGGCGUAAAGCGAGCGCAGGCGGUUUUUUAAGUCUGAUGUGAAAGCCUUCGGCUCAACCGAAGAAGUGCAUCGGAAACUGGGAAACUUGAGUGCAGAAGAGGACAGUGGAACUCCAUGUGUAGCGGUGAAAUGCGUAGAUAUAUGGAAGAACACCAGUGGCGAAGGCGGCUGUCUGGUCUGUAACUGACGCUGAGGCUCGAAAGUAUGGGUAGCAAACAGGAUUAGAUACCCUGGUAGUCCAUACCGUAAACGAUGAAUGCUAAGUGUUGGAGGGUUUCCGCCCUUCAGUGCUGCAGCUAACGCAUUAAGCAUUCCGCCUGGGGAGUACGGCCGCAAGGCUGAAACUCAAAGGAAUUGACGGGGGCCCGCACAAGCGGUGGAGCAUGUGGUUUAAUUCGAAGCUACGCGAAGAACCUUACCAGGUCUUGACAUACUAUGCAAAUCUAAGAGAUUAGACGUUCCCUUCGGGGACAUGGAUACAGGUGGUGCAUGGUUGUCGUCAGCUCGUGUCGUGAGAUGUUGGGUUAAGUCCCGCAACGAGCGCAACCCUUAUUAUCAGUUGCCAGCAUUAAGUUGGGCACUCUGGUGAGACUGCCGGUGACAAACCGGAGGAAGGUGGGGAUGACGUCAAAUCAUCAUGCCCCUUAUGACCUGGGCUACACACGUGCUACAAUGGAUGGUACAACGAGUUGCGAACUCGCGAGAGUAAGCUAAUCUCUUAAAGCCAUUCUCAGUUCGGAUUGUAGGCUGCAACUCGCCUACAUGAAGUCGGAAUCGCUAGUAAUCGCGGAUCAGCAUGCCGCGGUGAAUACGUUCCCGGGCCUUGUACACACCGCCCGUCACACCAUGAGAGUUUGUAACACCCAAAGUCGGUGGGGUAACCUUUUAGGAACCAGCCGCCUAAGGUGGGACAGAUGAUUAGGGUGAAGUCGUAACAAGGUAGCCGUAGAAUCGUCGACCUG
rnacentral:rRNA from 1 species